rnacentral:lncRNA from 1 species
AAUUUACAAACAAAGGGUUGGAAGGGUCUAUAGAACCAGAGUUACUACUAGAACCACCACCAUUCGUGUUAGAAGCCAUGCUCAAAUGAAUUAAAUCGUUCACAAAUAUCACCAAAAAAACAGUAUUCACAGCUCAAACAAUCAGUACUCACAAAUAAAAUCAAACGAUGACACACAACCAAAGAAUCACAACCAAAAGAUAGGAACAAUGUUACCGUCCUUCUUCGCAACCGGAAAAGAUCGGCCUUUAACAACAGAUAAAACCCUAGGUAUGAACCCAAGGAGUAACCGUCAAAGUUUUGCCGGAGAUACCGUCAACGAUGUCGGAGCAGUACCGAUAACANNNN